GAUGAAGAACGCAGCGAAAUGCGAUAAGUAAUGCGAAUUGCAGAAUUCAGUGAGUCAUCGAAUCUUUGAACGCACAUUGCGCCCUGUGGUAUUCCGCAGGGCAUGCCUGUUCGAGCGUCAUUUCAACCAUCAAGCCCCCGGCUUGUGUUGGGGACCUGCGGCUGCCGCAGGCCCUGAAAAGCAGUGGCGGGCUCGCUGUCACACCGAGCGUAGUAGCAUACAUCUCGCUCUGGGCGUGCUGCGGGUUCCGGCCGUUAAACCACCUUCAUAACCCAAGGUUGACCUCGGAUCAGGUAGGAAGACCCGCUGAACUUAAGCAUAUCAAUAAGCGGAGGA
rnacentral:misc_RNA from 1 species